AGUUUCCAUAGUGUAGUGGUCAUCACAUCUGCUUUACAAGCAGAAAGUCCUGGGUUCAAGCCUCAGUGGAACUU